GGCGCUGCCGCCUUCUCAGCGGCGCCGGCGGGCGGCGUAGGGCCCGCAUCCGGCCGCCAUCUUGCCGCCUCCUCUAGCCCGCCCGAGCCACAACGUCACGCGCGUAACCUGGAAGUGUCCCGCGUAUGAGUCGGGCGGGUGUUGGCGAGCUGUGCGGCGUGCUGCCUUACCGCCCUCUGGUGCCCUGUGGGGGCUCGGGCGUGCAGGCGGGUGGCGUCUGCCGCGCUAAGGGAGGGAAGAAGGGAGCCGGGAGAGCUGUUGCUGGGGUGGUUAUCAAACUGCGGAGGAGCUUUGAUCUGGGAGCAGGGACCUUUACUGAUCGAUGCCGUAUUAAUAGCAGCCCUUGAAGAUUGCUCUGUACAUUGGCUUGUAAAUCCAGCUCCUUCUCUGCACCGUUUGGUACCAAGUGCCUUAAUGAAAUCCAGUGUUUUUGCUACGAAUGUGGUGCAAGUCCACUGAAGUCAGCCUUGAAAUCCCAGUUUUGUCAAGCUCAGAAUCUGCUCGGUGGAGACCCAGCGCUGCUGGUUGAACUCGUGCUCUGCCACCUGCAGCUGAAGCCUAAACGUACUCUGUAUCCUAGCAGGGAGGUGUCCGAAGGCAGCUUCCCCAGCUUCCUUCUCAGCCACAGAUGCGCCUUUAACCCACGCAGCUCUGUCGCUCAGGCUGUCCCGCAGUAUCACUUACCGGCGUCACCACAGAGGGGGAGCAGCACACCGCAGGCUGGCCCAGGACACAUGCAGAGACGUGCUGCUGCGGGGUGGUGGUUCACGUUUUAGGAUCCUUCGGGCUUCUUCACAGCAGUGUUAGAGAGAGGAUCCCACUCAAUGCAGGGUGGCCCUGGGGUUUGCCUGCUACGGUCACUGACAAGCAGUUCCUCGAGCAACAAGGGCCCAGCAAUCAUGAACUGAAAACCACCAGAGUGGGGCCACCAACACCCCCAUCCACAUCUUUGCCUUUUUAGGUAGUUGUUCUCUGCUUCAGUACCAGUAAGAAACUUAAACUGCUCGCCAGUGCUGCUGUGCUGAGCUGACAAGUGGGAUGAAUGGUGCUAAUAGAAGUGUGAAAAACUCUUAUGUGUCAUCUCUUGCCAAACAAGUGAUGGAAGAGAAAUGAAGAGAGGAAAUGUCUUCACAGAAAACUCUAAGAAGUGAAGAAGGGUGAAGAGGGAGACAGGCACCAGGGAGAAAGAGGAAGAGCCUCUCUGUGAUGUGGGGACUCGCAGACAUGCUUCUCCACCAGAAAGACUGCACAGAUGAGACUUCUUGAACACAAGAGAUUGCCCCAAACAGUAGCUCCAAGGACAGAAGUGACAUGGGCCAUCAGGUGGUAAAGCAUAUACGAAUGUGUAACUGCUGGAAAUACAGUCUAUCUGAGUUGCCAUCUAAUGUGCAUCUUUUUCUUUCCUUAUUUGGUGCUUCAUGCCACUUGUGUGCCUGAAAUUUCAAGAGCCUCCACGCUUUCUGAUGGAGAGACUUCCUCCUACAGAUGGGCAUUUUGCCACGGAAACUUCACUGCUUCCCUCCUCUGCAGAAGAGCAAAAUCAACUGCUCUGAGUGCUGGGUGCCCAUAACCCAAAGCACAGUGAAGUCAUUGUGCCACACAUUUCACCGGGUGCCUGAGGCCAUACCAAAGGAAAGGCUUGGAUGGCAUGGGCUCCAAUCCCCACAGCCCAGAGGUGGGAUGGGUGCCACACCUCCAGCCCACUGGGUUCCUGAACCUCUAGGAGGGUAUGGGCAAAAGAUGAAAGCAGCAAGCAGCACUGAGCUCUUCUGGAGCUGAAACAGGACCAAAGCUAAACCCUGAACAUCCCCUCCUUUUCUCAUUCCCCCACCUCUGCACUGUUUGCAUAACGUUUGAGCAUGUGAAACUUUGGGGAAGUGAAAUCAUUCCUG
ensembl:lncRNA